CUGAAAUAGCCAAAAGAUCAAGGGACACCUUCCUGCAUGUUUUGCUCGCUUUUACCCAUGGGAAGAAGGUGAUAUUACCUGACUGGUGAAAAUGCUUGGAAAUUUCUACCUGCCUGCUACACUGAAAAGGGGAUCAUAUCUAUUAUUGGUGUUUCAAUUUUCAAAACUACUUCCCUUAUCUGUUGAUAGCCACCAACAAGCCCACUGCUAAAAGCCAUGUCUGUGAACACUGCUAAAGCUGUUUCCAAAUGUGCUUUGUACACAGGUGAACUCAGAUGAGACAAGAAGAAUCCUUCAACAAGAUGAACUUCAACUUUUAUCUGCUUUAUGCAUAUUGGUCUCCUUUCUCUAACAUUUUGGUAGAGAAAAUUGUACAAACAAACUUAAAUGAAUACCAAACUGCAGCCAGAGUAAAAUAUAAUGAUAGUAGUUGUCCUGAACCCCGAUCAUCAAACUCAGUCCCAGUAAACAUUCCAAAUAUCCACAGCAGUCACGAGUGAUAAAUGAAUCAUUUGACUCAAAGAACAAGGAAUGAGACAGAGACAUGGAGAAUGCUGCAGGUCAGCUGCCAAGCUCUACACUGGGCCACAUGGUCAUGGGACCUAGAGAAGAUACUGGACACACCGUCCCAUCCAAUCCCCAUCUCCUCUCCAUGGCAUUCAUUCAUACAUUCUCCAUAGUUGGAGACCUGGUUUAAAAUGCAGCUCAGAAAAAUGAUUCCUUAGGUCUCUUGAGAAACCGUGAAGUUGGAAUCAGUUUACUUAAAUCACUUUAGAAUGAAAGUUUACUUGGUGUGGUGGUUUGAAUGACAAUGUCCUCUGUAGGAGCAGGUAUCUGGGCAU
rnacentral:lncRNA from 1 species